rnacentral:tRNA from 2 species
GGUCUAGUAGUGUAGCGGUUAUCACCCGGGAUUCUGAUUAGUAAGCCUGCUUGCGUAAGCUUCCCGUAACCCAGGUUCGAUUCCUGGCUUGACCU